rnacentral:rRNA from 1 species
GAUGAACGCUGGCGGCGUGCCUAAUACAUGCAAGUCGAGCGAACAGACGAGGAGCUUGCUCCUCUGACGUUAGCGGCGGACGGGUGAGUAACACGUGGAUAACCUACCUAUAAGACUGGGAUAACUUCGGGAAACCGGAGCUAAUACCGGAUAAUAUAUUGAACCGCAUGGUUCAAUAGUGAAAGACGGUUUUGCUGUCACUUAUAGAUGGAUCCGCGCCGCAUUAGCUAGUUGGUAAGGUAACGGCUUACCAAGGCAACGAUGCGUAGCCGACCUGAGAGGGGGAAUCGCCACAACUGAAACUAGAAAACGGCCAGAAUCCCUAGGGGAGGAGGAGGUGGGAAUAUUUGCGAAUGGGGGGAAGGCUGAACGAGGCAAAGCGGGGGGGGGAAUAAGGGUUUUCGGUUGGUAAAACCCUUUUUUAGGGAAGAACAAAUGUGUAAGUAACUAUGCACGUCUUGACGGUACCUAAUCAGAAAGCCACGGCUAACUACGUG